ensembl:misc_RNA Metazoa_SRP Metazoan signal recognition particle RNA
GCUGGGCACGGUGGCGGGAGCCUGUAAUCCCAGCUACUUGGGAGGCUGAGGCAGGAGAAUUGCUUGAACCCGGGAGGUGGAGUUUGCAAUGAGCUGAGAUCGCGCCACUGCACUCUAGCCUGGGUAACAGAGCAAGACUCUGCCUCAA